rnacentral:tRNA from 1 species
GGCCGGAUAGCUCAGUCGGUAGAGCAUCAGAACAGUAUUCUGAGGCCCGGGUUCGAGUCCCGGUCUGGCUG